UACGGGGGGGGCAAGCGUUGUUCGGAAUUACUGGGCGUAAAGGGCUCGUAGGUGGCCAACUAAGUCAGACGUGAAAUCCCUCGGCUUAACCGGGGAACUGCGUCUGAUACUGGAUGGCUUGAGUUCGGGAGAGGGAUGCGGAAUUCCAGGUGUAGCAGUGAAAUGCGUAGAGAUCAUGAGGAAUACCAGUGGCGAAAGCGGCACCCUGGCGUCGUACUGACGCACAUGUGCGAAAGCGUGGGGAGCGAACGGG
rnacentral:rRNA from 1 species